GGCGCUGUAGUGUAGAGGUUAUCACUCGAGAUUCUGACAGUUGUCUUCUCGAAACCCAGGUUCGAGUCCUGGCAGUGCCU